CUGCUGCAAUUAGAAUGUAUUUAGAGAUGCAAGAACUUGCAAGUGUAUACUAGAGAAGAACGAGUAUUCUUUUCACUGGUUUUUCAGCCUGAAGCUGGUUUUUUCAGCAGUACUGUACCUAUGUAGCAGUUAAGUAAUUAUAAGGUGACACAGAAUAUGAAGCAUUUGCACAUUUAAGAUGUGCACUCUGUGGCCCUGAACACACAUACACUUUUUUAAAGGUUUUUAAAACAACUAUGGGUAAUUCUCAGGGUAUUUGAAGUUCAUGUAAUCUACUGCUCUUGGUUAAUGGUUCCCAUUGGCGUCUCAGAAAGUUUGGCAUCCAUGUUUUCUUUCUAAAAGUAUGGAGACUCUAAAUCAGAGUUCUCUUUGGCUAUGUCUGCGUUAGCGUGGUGCACAAACAGGAGUAGGUCUGUAGAGCAGCACUAUUGUGUGAGGACCUUAUGUCACCACUGUUUAUACGGGGGGGGGCUUCAGGCUGGACCUAGUUUUGUCCGAUGAGCUGAACAUUAAGGAAUGGUUUGAGGGCAUGUUUUGGUUGAGUGUCAUUGCAAAGGAGUCUAGUUUGUGUUCUGCAGGCCUGCUCAGCAAUGGCAACCAAAGCAUGGUAAGUGGGACAGUCAGGAGACUGACUUACAAAAAAGCACUUUUGAUCCAAACAAAAAUGCUAACGUAAACAUACCCCUAGAGCUAUAUACAGACACUGCUGGAAUCUGUGUUUGUUCAUGCUUAAAGUUAAACCUUAAAAUGAAGGCUAAAUUUAAGAAGUCUAGCUGGGAGCGUGGAGGAAAGCUGAUACAUGUUAGAGAUAAAUGGGUCUUCAUCACUUAAAGUUGCUUAGCAGUAUCAGAACACAUUCCUUACAAGGAAGAGGAGAGUCCUUUUUUUAUUUCCAGCUUUUUGCAAGAUCAUCAGAAUAGUCAUCUUCUCUCUGUUGACUUAACACAUGAAAACAAGGAAUUAGAGUGCAAAUACGAAACAAUAAAUAGGAGAAAUAAAUACCAGGUUGGAUAAACAGCACAAGAUCUCUACAAGAGUAAAGACUGAAGUUUCCAAAGAAUAAUUUCAGACAACAAACUGGAUUUUUAGAAAACAGAAUCCUGCUGAAUAUGCUUCAUUUCUGUAAUGUCCAGGCCUGAUCGUACUUUUAGCAUCUGUAGCACUAAGUAUCUUCUUUUACUAAUUUUAAGAGGAUAUAGUGAUAGAAUUUGCAAAAACUGUAUGUAGGGUUUGGGGAUGAAAAACUUUGGGUUUCAGCUCUUUUUUUUCCAUAGGCUCAGUGGGUCUUCUGGUUUGUGAUAGGGUCCCUGGGUGAUCCCAUGACAGACAAGAGCAGUAAUAGCAGCCAUGCUCCUAUGCCAUGCAUUUGCUGUAUUUUCUGCUAACCGUAUUCCUCUACCCACUCGGUUUUCUAGUGUCUCAGGCGAUAUUGCAUGGCAGUAUUACUUAUCCCUAGCAAAUGAUUAUUAUUAAGAAGGGAAGUCAUGAUCAUUAAGGUCAGUCUCCAGUUAAAAUAGGCAAGUAUAAAACAGUUAUUUCACACAGAUUGUCCCUUCCCAGCAUACAGUUGAGUGAGCCAUAAAAAGAGAUUUAUUUAACGUAUAAAUAAAAAAAAAAUUAGGAUUGACAAAUGUGGAAGAACUGUAACAUAUGAUACUCCUUAAUCAUCCCAGCUGAAAUCUGAGAGGAUCUUUUCAAGGAAAAAUAAGUGAAUCAAGGGAAGGCAAAGAAUCUGUGAUGUGCAGGAAAUGUUACUGCCUUCAUAAUGAUUUGUAGAUCAACAUCAAAUGAUCCUGAAUAAACACGCUUCUGUACUGCUCCUCUAACUUUUCAAUGUAUGCCUAAAUGCUUUGACUACCCAUAGAUGUUAAAUCAUGGCCUAGUAGUGAAGAAAACCUUGAAAACUAAGAAGAAUUUAGUUAACCUCAUGAAAUUGUUUUCGUGGUUGUUUCUUAUUAAAGAUGAAAAUCUAGAGAAGGUUUCAUAAAAUCUGGAAGAGCUUUCCUGCAGUGGAGACAAGCUGAAUUAGAAUUUCACGAGCUGUCUUGAGAAAAAUAGCUCUCAUAUUUAGGAUCAUUCAAAUAAAGGGACUGUAUUUGUUGAUACAAUAGAUCUCCUUUAGCCCUGUCAUCCUAAACAAUAUACUAUUUAACAGUAAACUUAUCCAUUAUGGUAUUUAUUUGAAUUCUAUAGAGAACAGUCUGCAGGUGAUCAGUUAGCACACCCACAUUAUUAUCUAAAGGACAAUCGGUGGGGCGAAAGGAUACCAUACAGAAUUAUUCUUUAGGGACACCUGGUGGCGCCUGAGAUGAAGUGAAGAUGCUGCUUUAUUCUGGAGCAUAUCUGCACAGCUGAAAUUAGGCAUCUGCUCAAGUGCUCUGUCCCUCUGCAGAUUUUAGCCUGAGACAAAGUAUGUGAUGAAGUUAGCCUUCAGGUGAUGCAGCAGUGAGUGCCUGAUGAAGCUUACAUGAGUGAAAUGGCAUGGAAUGCACAGAAGAAAAUGAAACUGAAGGAAGAGAGCUGAGUGACUGAUUAUGCCACUGCGCAAAGAAGCAUUUGAGAUAUCUGGUAUAAUAAUAGUGCAAGCUAUCAUCUACAGGUAAACUAUGUGUUACAGCACCAAUUAAACAAGGGGGAGAAAUUCCCUGAGAUCUACAGUAUGCUGCAGUUCUGUUUGUCCUUUACAAAAUAAUGCUUCAAAAAAGAAAACUGCAGUUAGUCUGAUGCAUGAACACUGAAUUGUUAGAUUCUGUAAUAGCCAUAUUGUGCUGCCCAGUCCGUAGUUUUCUUCUGGUUUCCCAUCUGCCUGAUAGUACCCAUCUGUUGUCUUCUUAAAAAAGGCAUAGAAAAACCUAACUAUUAAAUAAAGGAAAUAACAGAUUUGUUCUGUUUAUAAAGUGCCUAGCACAAUCGAAUCUCAAUUCCUGGCAAAUUAUUUUCUUCAAGCCUUGUUACACAAGCAAUAAAUUUUUCUAACAAUUAGCGGCAGUUUAGACAGCAACCUGAUGUAAUCUUCAAAGCACUAAAAGAAUAAUGCAGGUUCACAACCUAAUCUGAAGCAAGCUGUGUAAGGGGAUUUGUUUGUAGAAUGAAUUACCCUAAACCAGAGCAUUGGUUUCCAGAUUAGUGAGUAUCCCACUGGUAGAAAGGGAUUUUGAUAUUUGAUGUCCCAUCUACCAAUUGCUAUGAUUUUUAGGGUGAGAAGGCUAGCAAAGGAAUAUAUACUCUCUGGACUUUGCAAAGGACUAUUUAAAAAAAAAAAAAAAACAAAAAAAAAAAACAGUGGAGACAGGAAUUUCUCUGAUCAAAUAGCCAGAAAAAAUAUAUUCUGUAGGUGCUCUUCUUCCUCCGCCACACCCAUAACCCUUGAAGUGGAGGGUGGAGGAGACUAGGAAUACCAGUAAAGGCUAUCAAAAGGCAUGACUGUCACCAGAUGCCUAUGAGAAGAAUGCUUAGAUGUUUUGAACAGAAGCAUUGUAAUAGUACAGUAAAGUGCAUACAUACAGCCAUGUAAGAGGAUUAAUUACCCUUUAUGAAGGAAAUCAACAUUCCAAAACAAGUAGUUGCAUACAGUGUUUUGGACAGGUUAAAAAAAAAAAAAAAAAAAAAAAAAAAAAGUAGGUGCUUGG